CCUACGGGAGGCUGCAGUAGGGAAUCUUCCACAAUGGACGAAAGUCUGAUGGAGCAACGCCGCGUGAGUGAAGAAGGGUUUCGGCUCGUAAAGCUCCGUUUGUAGGGAAGAAAGAUAGAGGUAGUAACUGGCCUUGAUUUGACGGUAAUUACUUAGAAAGUCACGGCUAACUACGUGCCAGCAGCCGCGGUAAUACGUAGGUGGCAAGCGGUGUCCGGUUUUAUUGGGCGUAAAGCGAGUGCAGGCGGUUCCAUAAGUCUGAUGUGAAAGCCGUCGGCUCAACCGGAGAAUUGCAUCAGAAACUGGUGAACUUGAGUGCAGAAGAGGAGAGUGGAACUCGAGGUGUAGCGGUGGAAUGCGUAGAUAUAUGGAAGAACACCAGUGGCGAAGGCGGCUUUCAGGUCUGCAACUGACGCUGAGGCUCGAAAGCAUGGGUAGCGAACAGGAUUAGAUACCCGGGUAGUC
rnacentral:rRNA from 1 species